CCCUGACGCAGCCAUGCCGCGUGAAUGAAGAAGGCCUUCGGGUUGUAAAGUUCUUUCGGUAUUGAGGAAGGUUGAUGUGUUAAUAGCACAUCAAAUUGACGUUAAAUACAGAAGAAGCACCGGCUAACUCCGUGCCAGCAGCCGCGGUAAUACGGAGGGUGCGAGCGUUAAUCGGAAUAACUGGGCGUAAAGGGCACGCAGGCGGUUAUUUAAGUGAGGUGUGAAAGCCCCGGGCUUAACCUGGGAAUUGCAUUUCAGACUGGGUAACUAGAGUACUUUAGGGAGGGGUAGAAUUCCACGUGUAGCGGUGAAAUGCGUAGAGAUGUGGAGGAAUACCGAAGGCGAAGGCAGCCCCUUGGGAAUGUACUGACGCUCAUGUGCGAAAGCGUGGGGAGCAAACAGGAUUAGAUACCCUGGUAGUCCACGCUGUAAACGCUGUCGAUUUGGGGGUUGGGGUUUAACUCUGGCGCCCGUAGCUAACGUGAUAAAUCGACCGCCUGGGGAGUACGGCCGCAAGGUUAAAACUCAAAUGAAUUGACGGGGGCCCGCACAAGCGGUGGAGCAUGUGGUUUAAUUCGAUGCAACGCGAAGAACCUUACCUACUCUUGACAUCCUAAGAAGAGCUCAGAGAUGAGCUUGUGCCUUCGGGAACUUAGAGACAGGUGCUGCAUGGCUGUCGUCAGCUCGUGUUGUGAAAUGUUGGGUUAAGUCCCGCAACGAGCGCAACCCUUAUCCUUUGUUGCCAGCGACUUGGUCGGGAACUCAAAGGAGACUGCCAGUGAUAAACUGGAGGAAGGU
rnacentral:rRNA from 1 species